UACGAAGGGGGCUAGCGUUGUUCGGAAUCACUGGGCGUAAAGGGCGCGUAGGCGGCCUUGUAAGUCGGGGGUGAAAGCCUGUGGCUCAACCACAGAAUUGCCUUCGAUACUGCAGGGCUUGAGACCGGAAGAGGUAAGUGGAACUGCGAGUGUAGAGGUGAAAUUCGUAGAUAUUCGCAAGAACACCAGUGGCGAAGGCGGCUUACUGGUCCGGUUCUGACGCUGAGGCGCGAAAGCGUGGGGAGCAAACAGG
rnacentral:rRNA from 1 species